UCUCCGCACGUACCGUGACUUUUAAAAAUAAAUAAGUCAUCUCAGAAAACUAAAGCCUUCGUCUUCUUCCAUAACCAACCUGAUGGAGGCGGACAAACCCUAGAUGAGUCCCGUAGGUUCCCGUCCUGGCGGCUGGCGCCCCUUGCCGGCAAACUCUCCCCUUCUGCACGUGAGUUCCAUCCUCCUCUUUCCGAAGUUCUUUGGAAUUACCGGAUCUCUUUUCUGUCAUACCCCUGGAGGCACCCUGCUCCAAGAUCGAUCCAUCAGGACGGCCUGAGCGACCUAUUCCCUGCGGCUGGUCUCCUGUGCAACAACCCAAUCCAGCCAUCCAGGCCAUCCACGAAGAUCUGUACUUUAUGUGAUUGGGUUGUCAUGGCAAUUGUUGUUGAGAUAAGAUAAUCCAGCGCUGACAAUCACGAGACAGGAGAAAAACAAGUCACUCGGCUGCAGGACAGCCAUGCCACAUUCAACAGGUGAUCGACCAGUUCAUCUAUGAAAACUGAGAAGAACUUCCAUGGGAGAAUUUGCAAGGAGCACAAGAAAUGGCCUUAAGGAAAAGCUAUGAAAAGAUACAAGAGCAGAGCAGAGAAGAUUGGGGGAGCAGAUCCGCGUGUAGAUAUAUAGGUUUCAACUAGUUAGCAUUACAUUAUAUAUUUUUCCAGUGACCUGUGCAAUGUUUUAUGGAUCUUGUACCUUUCAGUUGUAAAGAUUGUUUUUUUAUAAUAUAAUUUCUUAUUCACCACCG